rnacentral:rRNA from 1 species
UUCGGGAUGCCGGCGAGUGGCAAACGGGUGAGUAACGCGUGGAUACCUGUCCUAUGGUGGGGAAUAACGUUUAGAAAUGAACGCUAAUACCGCAUAAGCCCUACGGGGGAAAGAUUUAUCGCCAUAGGAGGGGUCUGCGUCGGAUUAGCUAGUUGGUGGGGUAAAGGCCUACCAAGGCGACGAUCCGUAGCUGGUCUGAGAGGAUGAUCAGCCACACUGGGACUGAGACACGGCCCAGACUCCUACGGGAGGCAGCAGUGGGGAAUAUUGCGCAAUGGGGGAAACCCUGACGCAGCGACGCCGCGUGGGUGAAGAAGGCCUUAGGGUUGUAAAGCCCUUUCAGCAGGAAAGAUUGUGACGGUACCUGCAGAAGAAGCUCCGGCUAACUCCGUGCCAGCAGCCGCGGUAAUACGGAGGGAGCUAGCGUUGUUCGGAAUUACUGGGCGUAAAGGGCGCGUAGGCGGUUUGACAAG